AUUGAACGCUGGCGGCAGGCUUAACACAUGCAAGUCGAGCGGGGUGAUGGUGCUUGCACUAUCACUUAGCGGCGGACGGGUGAGUAAUGCUUAGGAAUCUGCCUAUUAGUGGGGGACAACAUCUCGAAAGGGAUGCUAAUACCGCAUACGUCCUACGGGAGAAAGCAGGGGAUCACUUGUGACCUUGCGCUAAUAGAUGGGCCUAAGUCGGAUUAGCUAGUUGGUGGGGUAAAGGCCUACCAAGGCGACGAUCUGUAGCGGGUCUGAGAGGAUGAUCCGCCACACUGGGACUGAGACACGGCCCAGACUCCUACGGGAGGCAGCAGUGGGGAAUAUUGGACAAUGGGGGGAACCCUGAUCCAGCCAUGCCGCGUGUGUGAAGAAGGCCUUAUGGUUGUAAAGCACUUUAAGCGAGGAGGAGACUCUUUUGGUUAAUACCCAAGAUGAGUGGACGUUACUCGCAGAAUAAGCACCGGCUAACUCUGUGCCAGCAGCCGCCGUAA
rnacentral:rRNA from 1 species